rnacentral:rRNA from 1 species
GACGAACGCUGGCGGCGUGCCUAAUACAUGCAAGUUGAGCGAUGAAGAUUGGUGCUUGCACCAAUUUGAAGAGCAGCGAACGGGUGAGUAACGCGUGGGGAAUCUGCCUUUGAGCGGGGGACAACAUUUGGAAACGAAUGCUAAUACCGCAUAACAACUUUAAACAUAAGUUUUAAGUUUGUAAGAUGCAAUUGCAUCACUCAAAGAUGAUCCCGCGUUGUAUUAGCUAGUUGGUGAGGUAAAGGCUCACCAAGGCGAUGAUACAUAGCCGACCUGAGAGGGUGAUCGGCCACAUUGGGACUGAGACACGGCCCAAACUCCUACGGGAGGCAGCAGUAGGGAAUCUUCGGCAAUGGACGAAAGUCUGACCGAGCAACGCCGCGUGAGUGAAGAAGGUUUUCGGAUCGUAAAACUCUGUUGGUAGAGAAGAACGUUGGUGAGAGUGGAAAGCUCAUCAAGUGACGGUAACUACCCAGAAAGGGACGGCUAACUACGUG